rnacentral:rRNA from 1 species
GACGAACGCUGGCGGCGUGCCUAAUACAUGCAAGUUGAGCGCUGAAGGUUGGUACUUGUACCAACUGGAUGAGCAGCGAACGGGUGAGUAACGCGUGGGGAAUCUGCCUUUGAGCGGGGGACAACAUUUGGAAACGAAUGCUAAUACCGCAUAAAAACUUUAAACACAAGUUUUAAGUUUGAAAGAUGCAAUUGCAUCACUCAAAGACGAUCCCGCGUUGUAUUAGCUAGUUGGUGAGGUAAAGGCUCACCAAGGCGAUGAUACAUAGCCGACCUGAGAGGGGGAUCGGCCACAUUGGGACUGAGACACGGCCCAAACUCCUACGGGAGGCAGCAGUAGGGAAUCUUCGGCAAUGGACGAAAGUCUGACCGAGCAACGCCGCGUGAGUGAAGAAGGUUUUCGGAUCGUAAAACUCUGUUGGUAGAGAAGAACGUUGGUGAGAGUGGAAAGCUCAUCAAGUGACGGUAACUACCCAGAAAGGGACGGCUAACUACGUG